rnacentral:ncRNA from 2 species
CAUAAGCAGAGGAGAGCAAGGCGAGAUCGUGCAUGCACGAAAAAGCUUUUAUAUUACCGACCCGCCCAAACAUGAGAAAGAAGCGAUUUACGAAGUAAAUCAGCGGAAUUCGAAUGUUUGCAGAAUUGCGGGAGCAGCGAAGCUGCGGAGCAAUUCGCAGUG